rnacentral:rRNA from 1 species
GACGAACGCUGGCGGCGUGCUUAACACAUGCAAGUCGAACGGAAAGGCCCUGCUUUUGUGGGGUGCUCGAGUGGCGAACGGGUGAGUAACACGUGAGUAACCUGCCCUUGACUUUGGGAUAACUUCAGGAAACUGGGGCUAAUACCGGAUAGGAGCUCCUGCUGCAUGGUGGGGGUUGGAAAGUUUCGGCGGUUGGGGAUGGACUCGCGGCUUAUCAGCUUGUUGGUGGGGUAGUGGCUUACCAAGGCUUUGACGGGUAGCCGGCCUGAGAGGGUGACCGGCAAAAUGGGACUUGAGAUCGGGCCCAGACCCUUACGGGGGGAAGAAGUGGGGAAUAUGGCAAAAUGGGCGGAAGCUGGAGGAAGCAACGCCGGGUGGGGGAGAACGGCCUUCGGGUUGAAACCGCUUUCGCCUGUGACGAAGCGUGAGUGACGGUAAUGGGUAAAGAAGCACCGGCUAACUACGUG